GCUAAUGACAGGCUGCUUAUUUAGAAGGAUCAUAAUACAGAACAGCCAUGUAGGCAACCAAAGAGGAUCCAAGAGACGGAAUAUGAAGGAAAAAGAGGAAGAAAAAGUCACUGUCUGUGCAUUGACAAGACGUGGAGAAAAGUGUGGAGAAGAAGAAAAUGCUGAGAGAGUAAUUUUGAUCCAAAGGACAAAGGGCGAAAGGAAGGAAAGGAGAAUUUGGUUGGAAAACACAAAGGAUCGAUGGGAGCAGGAAAACUGCAUCAGCAACUCAGCUAGCAAACAAUUGUCAGUAUUAUGGUGAACUGUAUUCUGAAUGGCCAUCUGCCCUCUGGCAGGCUGCAAGUGUUAUGAGCAUAUUGAAGGCAACGCCGUCAAUUUUAUUCUCCCCAGGACCCAAAAGGAAGAGGGAUUCAGAGAUUCACAAGUUCACAGAUUCCCAGGCCAGAAGGUACCAACAGACUGACCUUGAACACACAGGCCAUAGAAUUUCUUCCAGAGGCUGGAUGUGAACAUAUGCUUUAGAAAGAUAGCUAAGCUCCCCUUAAAGACACCAACCAAUUGGGAGCCCUCCAUCUCACCGAGGAAUGGCAACAGGAAACUUGGAGAAUGUUCUCAGCAUCAUUUCCCUAUUGGAUGACUUGAAAUAAUGAAAGAGAAUCUGUGUGUGUGUGUGUCCGUCCUUUUGACUAUUUUUGUAACAUUCUAUUCUUUACAUUGAAAAUCCAGUAAAGGUUCCACUGCUUUUUCAUAUA